rnacentral:misc_RNA from 1 species
GAGUGGUGACUGGAUAGCACGGUUUGGUUGGAUCCCUGCUCAGUGCCGCGACGUCCAACCGUGCGUUCCUCUUCAUUCGUUGGCACAAGUAUCUCACUUGGCCGUCCCAUCGGUUUCCUGUGUUGCAUACCUACUAUGACGGAAUUCGGUUGCCAAUCAUCAUCGUUCGCCCAAGGCAGCCCGUCUAGCACGGCGCUGAUAAGGGCGAACCUCGAAGCGGGUUUCAUUUCCCAACCGUGUGCGCACCGCGCAUGUCGACUUGGUGAAUGACUCUCCGUUCGGUCUCUGGGAUGCGGAAUACGCAAUGGGCAUGGGGUCCUCGACUCCUAUUUGCCCACGACUAACGUCGAAAACUACAUUCGAACGACGUUCGGUGUCGCCAAGGUGUUCGUGCCUUGCGGCCCGAUGUCCGUGAGGAAUGCUACCUGGUUGAUCCUGCCAGUAGUCAUAUGCUUGUCUCAAAGAUUAAGCCAUGCAUGUGUAAGUAUGAACUAAUUCAGACUGUGAAACUGC